rnacentral:rRNA from 1 species
UACGUAGGGGGCUAGCGUUAUCCGGAAUUACUGGGCGUAAAGGGUACGUAGGCGGUCUUUCAAGCCAGAAGUGAAAGGCUACGGCUCAACCGUAGUAAGCUUUUGGAACUGUAAGACUUGAGUGCAGGAGAGGAGAGUGGAAUUCCUAGUGUAGCGGUGAAAUGCGUAGAUAUUAGGAGGAACACCAGUUGCGAAGGCGGCUCUCUGGACUGUAACUGACACUGAGGCACGAAAGCGUGGGGAGCAAGCAGGAUUAGAUACCCCCUGUAGUCCCU